UGGUGGGGUGACUUGUCUGCUUAAUCGCGAUAACGAACGAGACCUUAACCUGCUAAAUAGCCCGCAUUGCUCCGGCAGUGCGCUGGCUUCUUAGAGGGACUUUCGGCUCAAGCCGAAGGAAGUUUGAGGCAAUAACA
rnacentral:rRNA from 1 species